GUCUACAGACAUUUCACCCUCAAUGCGCCCGAUCUCGUCUGAUCUUGGAAGCUAAGCAGGGUCGGGCCUGGUUAGUACUUGGAUGGGAGACCACCUAAGAAUACAGGGUGCUGUAGGCU
rnacentral:rRNA from 1 species